GGUAGUGUAGUUAACACCUGCAUUAUUUGACGUUACCUACACGAAGAAGCACCGGCUAACUCCGUGCCAGCAGCCGCGGUAAUACGGAGGGGUGCGAGCGUUAAUCGGAAUUACUGGGCGUAAAGCGCAUGCAGGCGGCCUGUUAAGUCAGAUGUGAAAGCCCGGGGCUUAACCUCGGAAUUGCAUUUGAAACUGGCAGGCUAGAGUCUUGUAGAGGGGGGUAGGAAUUUCAGGUGUAGCGGUGAAAUGCGUAGAGAUCUGAAGGAAUACCAGUGGCGAAGGCGGCCCCCUGGACAAAGACUGACGCUCAGAUGCGAAAGCGUGGGGAGCAAACAGGAUUAGAUACCCCUGGUAG
rnacentral:rRNA from 1 species